AUGCUCAGUCGGGCAGCUCUCCGGGCGGGCGUGGGAGCCCGCGCUCCAAGGCCCGGUCGGGGGAGGGGCGCUCACGCAACCGCCCCUGUCUGGAGGGGGAUCGCCUCUGCGGCAGCGCUCACCGCAGGGCUUUACUGAAGCGGAGUCUAGCAUGUGUGGCUGCUCCACAGCGGUGUGGGUGGCGGCGGCUCCUCUGCAGCAGCCUCGGCAGCAGCGGUCGCCAUGGCCAAGCCCACCGUGGAGCUCAUCUGAGAGCUGUAAGGUACGGGACUGCCUCGGUCUUUGGGACGCCCCGUCUGGUAGCAUCCCAGAUCCAGCACGUUCCUUCCGGCCCUGCACCCCGGCCCGGUGCCUCACAUCCCGCCACCCCAUGCAUCCAGGCUCUAAGGCAGCCCCUGCAUCUCAGUCCUGACAUCGCUGUCCCUGGAGCAUCCUCCGCUGGAGCUGGAGCUUGACGGCCAAGACAAUCCAAAGCAAAAAGAACACAGCUGGAGGCAUCACGCUACCUGACUUCAAACUAUACUGCAAGGCUACAGUAACCAAGACAGCAUAGUACUAGUACCAAACAGAUAUCUAGACCAAUGGAAUGGAACAGAGGCUGCAGAAAUAACACCACACACCUACAACCAUCAGAUUUUUGACAAACCUGACAAAAACAAACAAUGGGGAAAGGAUUCCCUAUUUAAUAAAUGAUGUUGGGAAAGCUGGCUAGCCAUAGGCAGAAAACUGAAACUGGACCCCUUCCUUACACCUUAUACAAAAAUUAACUCAAUUUUAUUAUGUUGUAUUAAAUUAAGUUGGAUUUAAUUAAGAUGGAUUAAAGACUUAAUUAUAAGACCUAAAACCAUAAAAACCCUAGAAGAAAACCUAGGCCAUACCAUUCAGGACACAGGUAUGGGCAAAGACUUCAUAACUAAAACACCAAAAGCAAUGGCAACAAAGUCCAAAUAGACAAAUUGGACCUGAUUAAACUAAAGAGCUUCAGCGCAGCAGAAGAGACUAUCGUCAGAGUGAACAGGCAACCCACAGAAUGGAAGAAAAUUCUUGCAAUCUAUCCAUCUGACAAAGGGCUAAUAUCCAAAAUCUACAAAGAACUUAAACAAAUUUACAAGAAAAAACACAAACAACCCCAUCAAAAAGUGGGCUAAGGAUGUGAACAGACACUUCUCAAAAGAAAACAUUUAUGCAGCCAACAAACAUGAAAAAAAGCUCAUCAUCACUGCUCAUUAGAGACAUGCAAAUCAAAACCACCAUGAGAUACCAUCCCACACCAGUUAGAAUGGCAGUCAUUAAAAUGUCAGGAAACAACAGAUGCUGGAGAGGAUGUGGAGAAAUAGGAACACUUUUACACUGUUGGUGGGAGUGUAAAUUAGUUCAACCAUUGUGGAAGACAGUGUGGCCAUUCCUCAAAGACCUAGACACAUAAUUGUCAGAUUCACCAAAGUUGAAAUGAAGGAAAAAAUGUUAAGGGCAGCCAGAGAGAAAAGUCAGGUUACCCACAAGGGGAAGCCCAUCAGACUAGCAGCUGAUCUCUCGGCAGGAACUCUACAAGCCAGAAGAGAGUGGGGGCCAAUAUUCAACAUUCUUAAAAUAAUUUUCAACCCAGAAUUUCAUAUCCAGCCAAACCACGCUUCAUAAGUGAAGGAGGAAUAAAAUACUUUACAGUAUUUUACAGCAAAUGCUGAGAGAUUUUGUCACCACCAGGCCUGCCCUAAAAGAGCCCCUGAAGGAAGCACUAAAAAUGGAAAGGAGCAACCAGUACCAGCCACUGCAAAAACAUGCCAAAUUGUAAAGACCAUCAAUGCUAGAGAGAAGCUGCAUCAACUAAGGAGCAAAAUAACCAGCUAACAUCAUAAUGACAAGAUCAAAUUCACACAUAACAAUAUUAACCUUAAAUGUAAAUGGGCUAAAUACUCCAAUUAAAAGACACAGACUGGCAAAUUGGAUAAAGAGUCAAGACCCAUCAGUGUGCUGUAUUCAGGAAACCCAUCUAUGUGCAGAGACACACACUGGGUCAAAAUAAAGGGCUGCAGGAAGAUCUACCAAGCAAAUGGAAAACAAAAAAAGGCAGGGGUUGCAUUCCUAGUCUCUGAUAAAACAGACUUUAAACCAACAAAGAUCAAAAGAGACAAAGUAGGCCAUUACAUAAUGGUAAAGGGAUCAAUUCAACAAGAAGAGCUAACUGUCCUAAAUAUAUAUGCACCCAAUACAGGAGCACCCAGAUUCAUAAAGCAAGUCCUUAGAGACCUACAAAGAGACUUAGACUCCCCACACAAUAAUAAUGGGAGACUUUAACAUCCCACUGUCAAUAUUAGACAGAUCAAUGAGACAGAAAGUUAACAAGGAUAUCCAGGAAAUGAACUCAGCUCUGCACCAAGCGGACCUAAUAGACAUCUACAGAACUCUCCACCCCAAAUCAACAGAGUAUACAUUCUUCUCAGCACCACACCACACUUAUUGCAAAAUUGACCACAUAGUUGGAAGUAAAGCACUCCUCAGCAAAUGUAAAAGAACAGAAAUCACAACAAACUGUCUCUCAGACCACAGUGCAAUCAAACUAGAACUAAGGAUUAAGAAACUCCCUCAAAACCACUCAACUACAUGGAAAAUGAACAACUUGCUCCUGAAUGACUACUGGGUACAUAACAAAAUGAAGGCAGAAUAAAGUUGUUCUUUGAAACCAAUGAGAACAAAGACACAACAUACCAGAAUCUCUGGGACACAUUCAAAGCAGUAUGUAGAGGGAAAUUUAUAGCACUAAAUGCCCACAAGAGAAAGCAGGAAAGAUCUAAAAUGGACACCCUAACAUCACAAUUAAAAGAACUAGAGAAGCAAGAGCAAACACAUUCAAAAGCUAGCAGAAGGCAAGAAAUAGCUAAGAUCAGAGCAGAACUGAAGGAAAUAGAGACACAAAAAACCCUUCAAAAAAUCAGUGAAUCCAGGAGCUGGUGUUAUGAAAAGAUCAACAAAAUUGAUAGACCACUAGCAAGACUAUUAAAGAAGAAAAGAGAGAAGAAUCAAAUAGACGCAAUAAAAAAUGAUAAAGGGGAUAUCACCACCGAUCCCACAGAAAUACAAACUACCAUCAGGGAAUGCUAUAAACACCUCUAUGCAAAUAAACUAGAAAAUCUAGAAGAAAUGGAUAAAUUCCUCGACACAUACACCCUCCCAAGACUAAACCAGGAAGAAGUUGAUUCUCUGAAUAGACCAAUAACAGGCUCUGAAAUUGAGGCAAUAGUUAAUAACUUACCAACCAAAAAAAGUCCAGGACCAGAUGGAUUCACAUCCGAAUUCUACCAGAGGUACAAGGAGGAACUGGUACCAUUCCUUCUGAAACUAUUCCAAUCAAUAAAAAAGAGGGAAUCCUCCCAAACUCAUUUUAUGAAGCCAGCAUCAUCCUGAUACCAAAGCCUGGCAGAGAAACAACAGAAAAAGAGAAUUUUAGACCAAUAUCCCUGAUGAACAUCGAUGCAAAAAUCCUCAAUAAAGUACUGGCAAACCGAAUCCAGCAGCACAUCAAAAAGCUUAUCCACCAUGAUCAAGUGGGCUUCAUUCCUGGGAUGCAACAUUGGUUCAACAUACGCAAAUCAAUAAACAUAAUCCAGCAUAUAAACAGAACCAACAACAAAAACCAUGUGAUUAUCUCAAUAGAUGCAGAAAAGGCCUUUGACAAAAUUCAACAGCCCUUCAUGCUAAAAACUCUCCAUAAAUUAGGUAUUGAUGAGAUGUAUCUCAAAAUAAUAAGAGCUAUCUAUGACAAACCCACAGCCACUAUCAUACUGAAUGGGCAAAAACUGGAAGCAUUCCCUUUGAAAACUGGCACAAGACAGGGAUGCCCUCUCUCACCACUCCUAUUCAACAUAGUGUUGGAAGUUCUGGCCAGGGCAAUCAGGCAGGAGAAGGAAAUAAAGGGUAUUCAAGUAGGAAAAGAGGAAUUCAAAUUGUCCCUGUUUGCAGAUGACAUGGUUGUAUAUCUAGAAAACCCCAUCACCUCAGCCCAAAAUCUCCUCAAGCUGAUAAGCAACUUCAGCAAAGUCUCAGGAUACCAAAUCAAUGUGCAAAAAUCACAAGCAUUCUUAUACACCAAUAACAGACAAACAGAGAGCCAAAUCAUGAGUGAACUCCCAUUCACAAUUGCUUCAAAGAGAAUAAAAUACCUGGGAAUCCAACUUAAAAGGGACGUGAAGGACCUCUUCAACGAGAACUACAAACCACUGCUCAAUGAAAUAAAAGAGGAUACAAACAAAUGGAAGAACAUUCCAUGCUCAUGGGUAGGAAGAAUCAAUAUCUUGAAAAUGGUCAUACUGCCCAAGGUAAUUUAUAGAUUCAAUGCCAUCCCCAUCAAGCUACCAAUGACUUUCUUCACAGAAUUGGAAAAAACUACUUUAAAGUUCAUAUGGAACCAAAAAAGAGCCCACAUUGCCAAGUCAACCCUAAGCCAAAAGAACAAAGCUGGAGGCAUCACACUACCUUACUUCAAACUAUACUACAAGGCUACAGUAACCAAAACAGCAUGGUACUGGUACCAAAACAGAAAUAGACCAAUGGAACAGAACAGAGCCCUCAGAAAUAAUGCUGCGUAUCUACAACCAUCUGAUCUUUGACAAACCUGACAAAAACAAGAAAUGGGGAAAGGAUUCCCUAUUUAAUAAAUGGUGCUGGGAAAACUGGCUAGCCAUACGUAGAAAGCUGAAACUGGAUCCCUUCCUUACACCUUAUACAAAAAUUAAUUCAAGAUGGAUUCAAGACUUAAAUGUUAGACCUAAAACCAUAAAAACCCUAGAAGAAAACCUAGGCAAUACCAUUCAGGACAUAGGCAUAGGCAAGGACUUCAUGUCUAAAACACCAAAAGCAAUGGCAACGAAAGCUGAAAUUGACAAAUGGGAUCUAAUUAAACUAAAGAGCUUCUGCACAGCAAGGGAAACUACCAUCAGAGUGAACAGGCAACCUACAGAAUGGGAGAAAAUUUUUGCAAUCUACUCAUCUGACAAAAGGGCUAAUAUCCAGAAUCUACAAUGAACUCAAACAAAUUUACAAGAAAAAAACAAACAACACCAUCAACAAGUGGGCAAAUGAUAUGAAUAGACACUUCUCAAAAGAAGAUAUUUAUGCAGCCAAAAGACACAUGAAAAAAUGCUCAUCAUCACUGGCCAUCAGAGAAAUGCAAAUCAAAACCACAAUGAGAUACCAUCUCACACCAGUUAGAAUGGCGCUCAUUAAAAAGUCAGGAAACAACAGGUGCUGGAGAGGAUGUGGAGAAAUAGGAACACUUUUACACUGUUGGUGGGACUGUAAACUAGUUCAACCAUUGUGGAAGUCAGUGUGGUGAUUCCUCAGGGAUCUAGAACUAGAAAUACCAUUUGACCCAGCCAUCCCAUUACUGGGUAUAUACCCAAGGGAUUAUAAAUCAGGCUGCUAUAAAGACACAUGCACAUGUAUGUUUAUUGUGGCACCAUCCACAAUAGCAAAGACUUGGAACCAAGCCAAAUGUCCAACAAUGAUGGACUGGAUUAAGAAAAUGUGGCACAUAUACACCAUGGAAUACUAUGCAGCCAUAAAAAAUGAUGAGUUCAUGUCCUUUGUAGGGACAUGGAUGAAGCUAGAAACCAUCAUUCUCAGCAAACUAUCACAAGGACAAAAAACCAAACACCACAUGUUCUCACUCAUGGGUGGGAAUUGAACAAUGAGAACACAAGGACACAGGAAGGGGAACAUCACACACCUGGGCCUCUUGUGGGGUGGGGGGAGGGGGGAAGGAUAGCAUUAGGAGAUACACCUAAUGUUAAAUGACAAGUUAAUGGGUGCAGCACACCAACAUGGCUCAUGUAUACCUAUGUAACUAACCUGCACGUUGUGCACAUGUACCCUAAAACUUAAAAAAGUAUAAUUUAAAAAAAAAGACUUAAAUGUUAAGACCUAAAACCAUAAAAACCCUAAAAGAAAACUGAGGCCAUACCAUUCAGGACAUAAGUAUGGGCAAAGACUUCAUGACAAAAACACCAAAAGCAAUGGCAACAAAAGCCAAAAUAGAUAAAUGGGACCUAAUUAAAGAGCUUCGGUGCAGCAAAAGAAUCUCAUCAGAAUGAACAGGCCAUCUACAGAUGGGAGAAAAUUUUUGCAAUCUAUCCAUCUGACAAUGGGCUAAUAUCCAGACUCUAAAAAUACUUAAACAAAUUUACAAGAAAAAAACAAACAACCCCAUCAAAAAGUGAGCUAAGGAUGUCAACAGACCCUUCUCAAAAGAAAACAUUUCUGCAGCCAACAAAAAUGAAAAAAAGCUCACCCUCACUGCUCAUUAGAGAAAUGCAAAUCAAAACAACAAUGAGAUACCAUCUCACACCAGUUAGAAUGGCAAUUAUUAAAAUGUUAGGAAACAACAGAUGCUGGAGAGGAUGUGGAGAAAUAGGAAGACUUUUAGACUGUUGGUGAGAGUGUAAAUUAGUUCAACCACUGUGGAAGACAGUGUGGCCAUUCCUCAAGGAUCUAGAACCAGAAAUACCAUUUGACCCAGCAAUCCCAUUACUGGGUAUAUACCCAAAGGAUUAUAAAUCAUUCUACUAUAAAGAUACAUGCACACAUAUGUUUAUUGCAGCACUGUUCACAAUACACAGACUUGGAACCAACCCAAAUGCCCAUCAAUGAUAGACUGGAUAAAGAAAAUGUGGCACAUACACACCAUGGAAUACUGUGCAGCCAUAAAAAAGGAUGCGUUCAUGUCCUUUGCAUGGACGUGGAUGAAACUGGAAACCAUCAUUCUCAGCAAACUAACACAAAAACAGAAAACCAAACACUGCAUGUUUUCACUAAUAGGUAGGAGUAGAAAAAUGAGAACACAUGGACACAGGGAGGGGAACAUCACACACCAGGGCCUGUCUGGAGCGUGGAGGGCUAGGGGAGGGAUAGCAUGAGAAAAAAUACUUAAUGUAGAGGAUGGGUUGAUGGGUGUGGCAAACCACCAUGUCUUGUAUAUACCUAUAUAACAAACCUGCAAGUUCUGCACAUGUAUCUCAGAACUUAAAGUAUAAUAAUUUUUUUAAAAAUGAAAAAAAUUUAAAAGAAAUAAAAAAGUAGGGGUUGGAGCAUGGGAGAAAGAAAAGAAAAGCAAUUUGAAGGACAGUAUGUAUAGUGUCAUCUCAUUUGUGAAACAAUUUUUAAAAGAAAAAUGCAUGUAAAUGUAUAAGAAACUGCUGGAAGGAUACACAAAGCCAAGAGCUAUAUGAAGAAGGUAAAGGAACCAUAAGGAAGAGUUACCUUUCAGUUUUCACAUAACUUUCUAUCCCUUUUUAAAAUAAUAAGCAUGUUUUAUUUUUA